rnacentral:rRNA from 1 species
GAUGAACGCUGGCGGCGUGCCUAAUACAUGCAAGUCGAGCGAACAGACGAGGAGCUUGCUCCUCUGACGUUAGCGGCGGACGGGUGAGUAACACGUGGAUAACCUACCUAUAAGUCGGGGAUAACUUCGGGAAACCGGUGCUAAUACCGGAUAAUAUAUUGAACCGCAGGGUUCAAUAGUGAAAGACGCUUUUGCUGUCACUUAUAGAUGGAUCCGCGCCGCAUUAGCUAGUUGGUAAGGUAACGGCUUACCAAGGCAACGAUGCGUAGCCGACCUGAGAGGGUGAUCGGCCACACUGGAACUGAGACACGGUCCAGACUCCUACGGGAGGCAGCAGUGGGGAAUCUUCGGCAAUGGGCGAAAGCCUGACGGAGCAACGCCGCGUGAGUGAUGAAGGUCUUCGGAUCGUAAAACUCUGUUGUUAGGAAAGAACAGAUGUGUAAGUAAAUAUGCACGUCUUGACGGUACCUAAUCAGAAAGCCACGGCUAACUACGUG